AUUGGGUCUACCCUAAGAUGGUGCGCCAACCAGCAAUGGAGGCAGCCAGCCACGGUAGGCUCAGUGACUGGGGUGAAGUCGUAACAAGGUAGCCGUAGGUGAACCUGCAGAAGGAUCA
rnacentral:rRNA from 1 species